CCUACGGGGGGCUGCAGUGGGGAAUAUUGCACAAUGGGGGAAACCCUGAUGCAGCAACGCCGCGUGAGCGACGAAGGCCUUCGGGUCGUAAAGCUCUGUCCUAAGGGAAGAAUACUGACGGUACCUUAGGAGGAAGCCCCGGCUAACUACGUGCCAGCAGCCGCGGUAAUACGUAGGGGGCUAGCGUUAUCCGGAAUUACUGGGCGUAAAGGGUGCGUAGGCGGCCCUUCAAGUCAGAGGUGAAAGGCUACGGCUCAACCGUAGUAAGCCUUUGAAACUGUAGGGCUUGAGUGCAGGAGAGGGGAGGGGAGUUCGCGGUGGAGCGGUGAAGUGCGUAGAUAUUGGGAGGACGACCAGUUGCGAAGGCGGCGCUCUGGACUGUAAGUGACGCUGAGGGACGAAAGCGUGGGGAGCGAACAGGAUUAGAUACCCGGGUAGUG
rnacentral:rRNA from 1 species